rfam:Sistotremastrum suecicum HHB10207 ss-3 unplaced genomic scaffold SISSTscaffold_6, whole genome shotgun sequence.
UCGUGAUGAGAUCAAGAUGACGAGUCCUAGCGAUUCUCAUGAAAGUUUCUUUCUUGAGACCGCGACGACGAUAACCCUUUUUAUAUACCAUUCAUGCUUUCCUGAUU